GUAGGUGAACCUGCGGAAGGAUCAUUAAAAGGUUUAUCUGGGGGUGGGUAAAACCCCCCUGGAAAACUCCACCCUUGCGUAUUAUUACUUGUUGCUUUGGUGGGCCGCGAGAUUGCCUAGCGAUUGAGCACCGGCUACAGCUGGAGAGCGCCUGCCAGAGGACCAAACUCUGUUAUUUACGUCGUCUGAUUACUAUUUAAUAGUUAAAACUUUCAACAACGGAUCUCUUGGUUCUG
rnacentral:misc_RNA from 1 species